GGAAUCAAUGUCACAAUUGUUACUCUAACAAUGGCACUGACAUUUUCUUAGUAAUUAGUAAGUGCUAUUUGUUGGGGUAGUUUUAAGUGA
rnacentral:pre_miRNA from 1 species